rnacentral:rRNA from 1 species
CACCAGCGCCACAAGUAGUAGUCACGUUUAUUUGGUCUAAAGCAUUCGUAGUCGGUUUGAAUAGUCUUUUGUGAAAUUGUUGGACUUAAUCUAACAGCGUGCAAAAGAUACUGUCAAGCUAGAGGCCGGGAAGAGAUAAGAGUACUUUAGGGGGAGCGGUAAAAUGCUAUAAUCCUUAAAUGACUACCAAUGGCGAAGGCACUUAUCUAGAACGGGCCUGACGAUGAGGGAUGAAAGCUAGGGGAGCAAAACG